CUACACUGAAGUUCUCCAGAGGUAUGGAGAACUAGAAAAGGCAUAGAUGGAUGUGUAAAUCAUCCCUACUCUGACCUAAUGAAGAAGCAAUUGCUUUCUUUUUUUUUUUUCCCCUAUACUGGCAGAAGAUACAGAUGAAGCAGGUGCCCCAAGCUGCAAGCCUGAGCACAAGUGAAUAUGGUGUCUGUGAAAGGUCCUGGUCUGACAGCCCUGGAAAAUGAGCCCCGUGUA
rnacentral:lncRNA from 1 species